UACGAAGGGGGCUAGCGUUGCUCGGAAUUACUGGGCGUAAAGCGCACGUAGGCGGCUUCUUAAGUCGGUGGUGAAAUCCUGGAGCUCAACUCCAGAACUGCCUUCGAUACUGGGAAGCUCGAGUCCGGGAGAGGUGAGUGGAAUUGCGAGUGUAGAGGUGAAAUUCGUAGAUAUUCGCAGGAACACCAGUGGCGAAGGCGGCUCACUGGCUCGAUACUGACGCUGAGGUGCGAAAGCGUGGGGAGCAAACAGG
rnacentral:rRNA from 1 species